CAGCAGCCGCGGGAAUACGUAGGUGGCAAGCGUUGUCCGGAAUUAUUGGGCGUAAAGGGCUCGCAGGCGGUUUCUUAAGUCUGAUGUGAAAGCCCCCGGCUCAACCGAGGAGGGUCAUUGGAAACUGGGAAACUUGAGUGCAGAAGAGGAGAGUGGAAUUCCACGUGUAGCGGUGAAAUGCGUAGAGAUGUGGAGGAACACCAGUGGCGAAGGCGACUCUCUGGUCUGUAACUGACGCUGAGGAGCGAAAGCGUGGGGAGCGAACAGGAUUAGAGACCCGCGUAGUCCCUGUCUCUUAUAC
rnacentral:rRNA from 1 species